rnacentral:lncRNA from 1 species
GGCCUCCGUCUUUUGUCUUCACUCGCUAAAUCAAUCAAUCCAUAUUGAAUCGGAGUUACCUUUUUUUCUCCCAUUUGAUUGAGCAUUUAUUGAGGGUUGUUACAAUCAAAAACCCUAAAUCCAGUGUUUCCUUUCAUCCUUUGCCUCCCAAUUGAAAGAACCCUAGAUCUCAUCUCUCUACCUGAAGUACUUUCAAGGGUAUCCAGAUGAGGCUUGGAUCAAAAAUUGAUAAAAUCAACAAGUUGAGGUUUCACCAUCCUUGCCCUUUUUUAUUUUGUAUCAAAGGAAACUGUGGGGGAAAAAUAAAGAAAUUAGCGGAUGCUAUGUGGCGAACUGAGAUUGAGGUAUUGCUACUCUACCUUUUUAACGUGGGUUCAGCCUUCAAGUAUUCACUCUUCAUUGGCUGAUUAUCUAUUUUGAUGAAACACCCUAAUCUCAAUCCAUUCCGAUGACUACAAUAGGGAGUAUAGGGAUUUUCUCCAGCAGCUUUAGGGGAAGUCUUUAGUUGAAGAUCAAUAGAAGACUGAGUCAUGAAGGUUGUUGAAGGAACUUUCAACAGCAGGUCGAACCGAAUUAAAUGAUAGCGAACCAAGUGUUUUUCGUUCUGCUAUAGAGGAAACAAUUCUAGCAGAACACAGGUUUACCUGGUAGAGUUUGAAAGAAAAGCUAAAACCUUGCCCUUUCAUGAGGAUUUUUCGGUAAGUCAGUCUAACUUAUGGUUAGCAUUAGACUUACCAAUUUGAUGCACCCCUUGAAAUGGCAGCAAUUUAGCCUCUAACAAUAGGGAAGUUCUUCGGUUGCCCUUGAUAUACAUAGCUUGCAAUUACAAAUUUACAAUCAUUAAUUUGUUUAGUUGAAAUCUCAAAAUUAUGAUUAAUAACUUCUAACAAUGGCUCUAUGUUCUUGAAUUCCUUUUUUCCUUCAAUUGAUUAAUAAGUUCUCCGUUGUCGACGUUUCGGCACUGGUGAAAUUUAUGCAACAAUAGUGAAGCUCGACUUUUAAUACUGAUAAUGUGAUAUUAUAAAAAUCAAAUUUGGAUAUCAUAAAAGUUGAGAUGUCAAUGAGGGUGUUUAACAUCCAUCAUAUUAAGUUGGUAAAUGAUGAGUUAAUAGAUUUAUUACCCUUAAAACCUUUAAUAAUUUUCAUAUUUUUGUUUGCAAAUCCGGUCCCAUUAACAUUGUAGAGCUUGAAGUGCGAGUACCACUCUAUGAUUUGAUAGGUCCAGAAGAAGGUGGUUUAUAUCAUUUUUGUUAGAAGUAUGAUGACAGCCGGUAAGAGUGAUGAUCCGGUUGUUGCGAAACGGUCCCACAAAAAGUAAUUAAGUGUUGGUGUUCGAAGGUAUGUUGUGGCGGUUUGAUUCUUUCGUUUCUUUUUUUCAGUGUUUUGGGUUAAUUUGGUGAUUUGGUUUCUUUUAUUGUGGGUAUUAUGGGUCAUCUUUUGUUUAGAAUUUAGUGAAGGAGAGCUUAUGGGACUAAAAAUCCAGAAAUUUGUGGGUCUGAGAAGUUUAUAUCAUGGCAUUUUAGUGGUGGAUUUGGGCAAAAAUCACAAGUUUUUUAGUUGUUACCUGUGGCCCUAUUUGGUGUCCAUUUUGUCCAGGUUGUUAUGCCUCAUGUGGGCCAGUUUUAUCUUUUAUAAAUUGGCCAAUCUUCUAUCAGUUUAGACCAGCUCCAAUCCGUGAAAAGAGUUGGGUAUGUUUGAUGGUGUUUAUUGGUUUUGAUGGCCCACCACCUGAUUUUAUUAGUUGGGUGGAAGGGGUUUAAUAGACCCGUUAUAUCAAUUUUUUGUUGGGUAGGGGCUGCGUUUUUUUUAACCACCAGAUGGCGGCUUUUCAUCGUGUAAGAAAGUGGACCAGAAAAGUCAAAACCUUUUUUGUGAAAGGUUAUGUCUUUAUUCCAAUAAUUACAAGUAAGUUGAAAAACUUCUAAAUUUCCUUUCCUUUAAGAAACUCGUUUUCUAAAAGAAAACCAAGUUUUUGAUGGGUGAGUUACGAUUUUGUGAGCCUAGGUUUCUAAUUGCACCUUUUUAUGUUGCCCGUUCUUAUUUCACAAUACACACAUAUCAUAUCUAUACCUAUUUAAUACAUAAUCCAAUUGUAUUUUAUCUCAAAAUAUCCUAUUAAAAUACCGAAUCUUAAAAGAAUGGACUAUGAUGCUUAAGAUAAACUCAAUAAAGGUGAUAUUUAUUUACCAACUUCAAAUUAAUUUGAUGUUCAGCUUGGUCUUCUAAUUAUAGGUUUUCGGACAAGUGAGGUGGUUAGUAAUAGUAACACGGAGUACCCUCUUGGCUGCAGUAGACUUGAAAGCUUAAUUGACUAUAGCAUACAUGACUAUUAAAAUCCGGUGAAGUUUACGACGCAGGAACACAAAGUUGUAACUAAAGUGGAUGUGCGCGCGGUCUUACUCAUGCUCCUGGAUGUUGUUAUGUUUAUCUUUAAAUAAAGUUGUAAACUUUCAGACAAUGUGUUGUCUCGUGAUGUAAACACUUAAACCAUGUUUUCUGUUAUGUAAUGGUGUUUGAAGUUAUUUUUACGAGCAUGUAGUAUGUUUACCUUUCGUAUACAAUGAGAAUCUUUCAUAAUCACACCUCGUGCUUCCGCCUAAGAAAGGGGUGUGACGAUAUGUUGGUUGGUUGGUUUGAAUCAUUUAUAAUCUCAAAACUGGUCAAACAAGAAAACCUAUAUAAAAUGGAACGGGUCAAAUGGCCGUACCAGUUGACAGUCUUUUAAAUUGUGUAUUCAUUGAUUUAGAUCAAUAUUUAUUUUUAAUCAUAUUUUCUUUGUAUUUAUAUAUGUAAUAUGUAAUGAGUAGUU